UACAGAGGGGGCAAGCGUUGUUCGGAAUUACUGGGCGUAAAGGGCGCGUAGGCGGUUUCGUAAGUCCCGUGUGAAAGCCCCCGGCUCAACUGGGGAAUUGCACGGGAAACUGCGAGGCUUGAGUUCGGGAGAGGGAAGCGGAAUUCCGGGUGUAGCGGUGAAAUGCGCAGAUAUCAGGAAGAACACCAAUGGCGAACGCAGCUCUCUGGGACGGUACUGACGCUGAGACGCGAAAGCGUGGGGAGCGAACAGG
rnacentral:rRNA from 1 species